ensembl:lncRNA
UUUUUUUUUUUUCUGUUCGAAUGAAGCCUGGUGCCUGGUUUCCCCCCAGCUCUGGCCCUACAGCUCCCCUUCCUGAGGACCCCAGUUUCAGGUCAUUCGACACUGUCCAGCCCUCUGGCCUGACGAAACCCCAACAAAGCAGACCUGGAAGCUGAGGAGACAAAGGCCUCACAUACGGUAUAUUGCAGCCAACAGGAAUUCAGUCAACUUUAGGACAUCCCAGCUGUACAUGUUACAUCAAGUCACCAGCUUGCUGAUGGCAACCACGGCAUAAUUUGGUCUGGAGGAGACCGGAAGAAUUGAGAGAGUUCAAGACUUGUCCGCUCUGGUCAUAUUCCUGCACGAUUCAUGGGUUUCCCAGCGGGCUGGGAGGAAGAAGAGUUUUCUCUCUCCUUUGCUGGUAGCUUCCUCUCAAGAAUCCUCCCCUUGGACUGGAUCAGUUCGCUGGAGCCUCCCUCCUGGUGGCAGGAGUCUUUUUGCACCGAAGCCUGGAAUUUCCUGAAAGACCCAUUAACUCUUUACUAGGAAGCAUCAACAGAUAAUUCAUGCUUGAGGUAUGUCAAAUCCCUCGCGUCAAAAUUCUCACCUUGCUGUUUGCAACCCCAAACUGCUGUGUGAUGAAAUUGCCCCAAGCCCAAUCAAGCCCCUGUAUUCAAAGACCCGCUGUGAACGAACCUUGAAGUUCUUGUUGAGAUUCGAUCUUGCCAUGCCUCGUUCUGGGUGCUGUGGGUGCUACGAGCAAAGGGCCUAGUGCAAAGAUUCCUUGGGGACCAUUUCAGACCUGGGAAGGAUGUCCUACAUCCCAGACAGACUCUUCUGUGGUGAAUCUCCUGGUGGUAGAUUCCUAGUUCCCACCUCAAAGAGGUGAAAGCUUCUUAUUCCUUUCUACUUGUAAAAUACAUGGUAUUUGCAUAUCUAUGGCUUAGCCGUCCCUUCAAACUAGGGGUUUAUUCUGUGUUUGUGGAAGAGAACAACUGAAUUGAGUGCAAAUACGCAGAAAGGUUUUUGAAGUCCAGGCUGCCCACUUGGCUGAACCACCAGGCAAGGUUCUGCCGGGGAAUUGCCUCCCAAGGAUGGGGUGGGAAGGCAUUCAAAGGAGAACUUUAAAAACCAACUUGAAACUGAAUCAACACUAGAACAUUUCACCUGAAAGAAGCUCAUUCAUUCAUCCUUAAAAGUUGUAUUUGCUUGCUUUUUUUUGGCUUCCCAGGAGAUGAAUAUUAAAAUACUGCAAAGUUUUAAAAAGUCUGGCCAAAACGUUUCAUGUGGUGACUUUGGGUAGACCUCGCCUCAAUCGGAAGCAAACAUAGACCACACAAAUGGAAACUCCUGGAAGGAGAGCCAGGCCUCACUUCCUUUUAUUUAGAACCAAAUGAAACUUGACACUAAACAUCCAGAGGAAAUGAAUUAGGAUUUGAGUCCAGAUCUGCCUGACUCCCGAGCUAUUGUUUGGUUUACUGAGGUUUCCUAAGGUCUUACAUCUUUUUUCCGGAGGUUCCCAGGCUAGGAGUCCAAUCCAAGCUACAGUUGCUGGCCACGGCCACAGCCACAGCAACUUGGGAUCUAAGCUGUGUCUGCAACCUACACCACAGCUCACAGCAACACCAGAUCCUUAACCCACUGAGCAAGGCCAGGGAUCGAACCCGCAUCCUCAUGGAUCCUAGUCAGGUUCGUUAACUGCUGAACCACGGAGGGAGCUCCAAGUUCUCAUAUCUUGCAUGCUCUGCAUUAUCAUGUUUCUACGAGAUCAUCUUCCAUUAACGCAGGAUGUCAGAAAUUGAAAACCAUCCUUUAGUAAUAUGUAUCCAAUUUUGGGAGGAUAUCAGUGACAAAUAUGUGAGAAACAGAUUCAGAAUUGAUGACCUGAAGUCACAUUUGUGAGAAUCACCCUGCAAGCUGGAAACUGCUUCAUAUCACAGGCUGGGCACUGGGACCCAGAGCCCAACCAACCCUGGACCUGCCAUUUAUUGGGUGUGUGACCUCGGCUGAGUUUCUUAACUUGGCUGUGCCUCAGCUUCUGUACAAAACACAUGAAAAUAAUAAUAGUACCUACCUCACAGGGUGGUUUGAGGAUCCCAGGAGUUAAUAUUUGUACAUCACUUAGAAUAUUAUCUGGCACGUAGUAAGCACUAUAUGUUUAAUACAUAAAAAGUAUAAGUUUAUUAUUUUAUCCCAUGUUAUAUAGCAUCAUACAUCAGUUAAAAAUAUCUCAAAUAAAAUAUUGUACAAAAUGAAAAUAUGGCAACUUAAAAGCUUUUCAAAAAUUUACCUUUAAACUGCAGAGUGUUUUCCAUGUUGGCUAUUCUCUGGAAAUUUCUAAAAUUAGGAAACACGAAAUGCUGGCAGCAUUUAAGGGGAAGUUAUUCUUUCUUUUCUUUUCUUCCUUUCUUUUUUUUUUUUUUUUUGUCUUUUUGUCUUUUUAGGGCCACACCCGGGGCAAAAGGAGGGUCCCAGGCUAGGGGUCUAAUCAGAGCUGUAGCUGCCGGCCUACACUACAGCCACAGCAAUGCCAGAUCCGAUCUGCAUCUGCAACCUACACCACAGCUCAAUGCCAGAUCCUUAACCCACUUAACGAGGCCAGGGAUCGAACCCACAACCUCAUGGUUCCUAGUUGGAUUCAUUUCUGUUGCGCCACUACGGGAACUCCAUAAGGGAAAGUUAUGCUUUAUUUAAGGUUUUCCCUGAUGCAUUUUGGUCAGUGCUUGUUAAGGCUUCUCAUAUUCUCUUUUCAUUUUUUUCCCUAUUUUUUGUCUUGUUUUGAUUUUUUUUAAGGCUUUAUAGUUUUUCUCUUUUUUCCAUAUUACAAACUAUUAAGUAGAUUUUCCUGUGCUAUACAGUAGGUUUUUGUUAAUAACAUAUACAGUAGUGUGUAUAUGUUAUUCCCAUCCUUCCCAUUCCUCUCUCCCCCUGAAUGGUUUCACUUAUGAUAACUCUAAGAUUGGUUUUGAAAUCUGUGUUUGUUUCUGUUUUAUAAAUGUUAUAUAAUUUUAUUUAAUUCUACAUAUAAGUAAUAUCAUAUGAUAUUUUUCUUUGAUUUACUUCACUCAGUUAUGAUAAUAUCUAGGUCCAUCCAUGUUACUGCAAAUGGCAUUAUUUCAUCCUUUUUUAUGGCUUACUGAUAUUCCAUUGUAUGUAUGUACCCCACCUUCUUUAUCCAUUUCUCUGUUGAUGGACAUUUAGGUUGUUUCUAUGUCUUGGCUAUUGUGAAUAGUGCUGCAGUGAACAUUGGAGUGCAUAUAUCUUUUUGAAUUAUGGUUUUCUCCCUAUAUAUGUCCAGGAGUGGGAUUGUUGGAUCACAUGUAAUUCUAUUUUUAGUUUUUUAAGGGACCUCCAUACUGUUCUCUAUAGUGGUUGUACCAAUUUACAUUCCCACCAACAGUAUAAGAGGGUUCCUUUUUCUCCACACCCUGUCCAGCAUUUAUGGUUUGAGGACUUUUUGAUGAUGGCCAUUCUAACUGGGUGUGAGUGAUACCUGAUUUGUAUUUCUCUAUUAAUUAGUGAUGUUGAGCAUCUUCUCAUGUGUUUUUUGGCCAACUAUGUGUCUUCUUUGGAGAAAUAUCUGUUUAGAUUUUAUGCCCGGUUUUUGAUUGGGUUAUGUGGUUUUGGUUUUUUUUUUUUUUGAUAUUUGUAUAUUUUGGAGAUUAAUCCCUUGUCAGUUGCUCUGUUUGCAAAGAUUUUUCUCCAAUUCUGUAGGUUGUCUUUUCAUUUUUUUAUUGUUUCUUUUACUGUGCAAAAGCUUUUACUUAGGUCUUGUUGAUUUAUUUUUGUUCUUACUGAUAUUAUUCUGGGAGGUGGAUCAAACAAAAUAUUGCUGUGAUUUAUGUCAAAGAGUGUUCUGCCUAUGUUUUCCUCUGGGAGUUUUAUAGUUUCUGGCCUUACAUUUAAGUCCUUAAUCCAUUUUGAAUAUGACAUUUGAGAAGGUUCUAAUUUCAUUCUAUUAUAUAUAAAUGUCCAGUUUCCCAGCACCACUUUAUUGAAGAGACAGUCUUCCUCCACUGUUCUUGCCUCCUUUGUCAUAGACUAGUUGACCAUAGGUGCAUGGGUUUAUUUCUGGGAUUGCUGUCCUGUUCCACUGAUCUAUAUUUCUAUUUUUAUGCCAGGGCCUUACUGUUUUGAUGACUGUAGCUUUGUAGUACAGACUGAAGUCGGGAGUCUGAUUUCUCCAGGUCAAUUUUUCUUUUUCAAUAUUGCCUUGGAUAUUUGGGGUCUUUUGUGUUUCUAUACAAAUUUUAAAAUAUUUUGUUCUGUGAAGAAUGUCGUUGAUAACUUCAUAGGGAUUUCUUUUUUUUUUUGGCCACGCCCAUAGCAUGCAGAAGCUCCCAGGCCAGGGAUCAAGCCUGUGCCACAGCCCAGCGACCCUAGGCUCUGCAGUGACAAUGCUGGAUCCUUAACAUGCCACGCCACAAGGGAACUCCAUAUAAGCUCAUUUUAAAACCAGAUUUUCUUCCUAAUUAGCAUAUUAUCCUUGAAAUGCAUUUCCUUUAUGAUUUUUGUCCUCUCCUUGGACCUCAGGUGUUUACGCUUUUGGCCUUGCAUUUUGUCAGCUGCUUUUCUUAUUACACUUACCUAGUUUAAAGGCAGGUGUUUGGCCUUAGCCCCACUUUUAAUGCCAGUUCUCAGGAUCCAGUCCUGCUUUUCUGAAAGACUCACGUUGCCUGAUGCUGGAUCAUCCUCAGGAGUGACUGCAGAAGUGCUUUGCCAGAUUUGCAGUGGUACUGAGUGGGAUGGCAGGGAGCUUUGGCCUUAAAUUAACCAACAUUACACUUUCUUCAAAAUUAUUCCAAAUAACAGAGUAAUAGUCUUCAGAGUGUGGUCUCCGGGCCAGGAGCAUAGGCCUUGUUUGGGAACUUGUUAGAGAGGCAGGUGUCAGGCCAGCCCUGGACCAACUAAAUCAGAGACUGUUUCAACCAGAUCUCCAGGCCACGUGAGUGCACAGUCAAGUGCACAUCGCGUUUGGAAAGCUCUGGACUAAGUCAUGCACAUCAUCUGUCAUUAAUUCAAAGACUAGUGACCCAUUGCUUUCAGGCUCAGCUCUGGAAUCUGGCACACAAGGGUGCAAAAGUGAACAGUGUAGCCUGUUGUGGAUGGCCCAGCCCAGAAGUUAGUUUUAUUCUGAGCACAGCUUUGUUUCCUGCCACUUGUGGAAAGGAGGUCACUGGUCACCAGACACAGGAUAAGAGAAUAGAUAGUACUGGCCUGGGGGGGCAAAGAGCUUACUAGGGCAUAAUGGCUUGAUUCCUCUCCUCUGCUGUUUUCUGAGUGGGGGAACUCUGACCUGUGCUCACAUCAUGUCUUGGGUUUCACCUUACUACCCUGUCUUCUAUGUGCUCAUCUUCCACUCCACCUGAGCUGGGGCAGAGGCCGUGACUUCUUCCUCUUUGUAUCUCUAGCACCUAGCACAGGGCUUGAAGAAAAAAAGGUGCUUCACGAUGCCAUUGAAUGAAUGAGAGAGAGUCGAUUCUCCAGGAGGCAAACACACAGGAUAUUUAGUUGCUGUGAUGCUCUCUGUAAGAUGGGGAAGUGACCCGAGAUAUUCCUGCCCAGGUCCCAGAGGUUGGGGAAUGUUUUGGAGAUACGUUUUUGACUGGAGUUCCACUCUGACCUUUCUUGCCGAAUGAAACUUCAGCUACACCUAGAGCGAGCUGAUGAAAAUCGGGAGGAAAGGGGGCGAAGGAAGAACCCAACUCACUGACUCAGUUCUAACUCUCACCACUUAAUCACUUCCAGUAGCAAUUGAAGUUUCAAUGCAAAUACCCCCAAGCAGCCGGCUUUGGUAUUUCCAGGCCCCACGUGAAGGUCUUCAAAUUGCUCAGACUGGAGUUUGUUCCCUCUUUAAAGAAAAACCCUUCUUUCUGGAAGUGACUUGGUACAUGUACCUAUAAAGGAAAUUCAUCCUGAGGCUGAGGCAGGCAGAAGGAAUCAAGGAACUCAAUUCAAGGAAGUUGCCGACGUGACUUUUAUUUCCCUCUUCUGUCACUUCCCUCUUUCCCAAGGCUUCCUCACUUCUACCUGUCCUGACAGGACCUUUAGAGUCUUGGAGGAAAUCAAAGUGUCUUAAAGGCUCCUGGUCUGCUGAACUGUUUUCUUUGAAAAUUUUGGUUCUUGUUUGCUUAGAAAUUCGAGGAAGACUUUCUCUAGACUAGAAUGUUUGGGUUCUAAAGUUUUUCUUUAGGGAACUCCAGGCUUCAGCCACCCAAACCAACGGCACAAAGGAAAACGAGUAGGUGUAAAAGAAAAAGAAAAAAAAAGAGAUGAAGAAUUGGAAGGAAAUCCAGAGGGUAAGAAACUGGGGCCAGCUACCUCCUGAUGUAUGCAGACAAUGGAAUCCACUCUGAAAGCUGAAUGAAGUCUGGAGAGCUGGGAGGCUGGGCCCAAGUGGGUCAGAAAAGGCCCCUCUGCUCCGUGAGCAUGGAAGGUGAUGCCUCUUCACAAAAGCAAGACCCCAAGAAGGCUGCACAAGAGUGGUCCACAUCCCUUUGUCCUGUUUCUCCAGCCCACCAGUACACAACUGGAGUGAUUUGUACAUUCGACACUAUUCCAGAGGGGAAAAGAGGCACAUCUGACUGAGACGUACUAAGGGCAUCAUUCCCAAAUGGGGAGCCAAUUUCCAACCUUUGUCCUUUGGGAUCAGAGAUGGAUCUUUCUCCCUCAAGCCCUCUUAUCUCUUCUCUGUGUUGGCAGAGGCACUGAACCUAACUGGCAUCCACGUGUUAGAUCAUGUAACACCUGUGUUCAGGUGCCCCGGGAUGGACAAAGAAUUUCAGUGAGGGGCCUGGAGCACCGGAGCGAAGACAGGACAGUAGAGGGGCCACCACAGUGCUCAGCUCUAGAUGACUGUGGCUGCUGGAGGGGGACAGAGCUGGCUUUGACCAGACAGUUCAGUUGAUAGUGAUACUCUUUGCAUAUGAAAGAUCCAUGAGGUGUUGGCUCCUUUUUUUGGUCUGAGAGGAAGGUGAACAUCUUAUUCUCUUUGACAUUUUUUUGUAGGUCAGGAAAGGAAUAAUAUAAUAGUAAUGUUUUCCUAGGUGUGAGCCGGAGAACAUGAGGUGUAUUGAUAUACCAUUCUGUACUUUAUAGAGCGCCAAAAACUUUCCUUUACUCCUCUAUCUAGGCAAGAGAUGUAUUUUACAGAUAAAAACUU